GAUUGAACGUCUGUCGAGCUUGCUCACAGGCACAUCAUAUCCAUAACACCUGUGCACUUGUCGGAUGGCUUAGUGAAGACCGCAAGGUUGGAACUAUCCAUCUACUUUACAUAACAAUUUAGUAACAAAUGUAGUCUUAUUAUAAUUAAUAAAACUUUUAACAACGGAUCUCUUGGCUCU
rnacentral:misc_RNA from 1 species